UCGACCACGUUUUGGCGACACACUGGGACCGCGAGGAGAGUAGCUACGACGUCGAGGAGAUUUACCACGGGGACUGUAGCUCCUGCGGCCGUAACUAGGACUCCUGCGGUAUCGUGGACUAGGGCUUCGACGCCUUCCGCUACCUGCUCCACCAGAGCCAACACGCAAGCGACACUCUCGGGCAAAAUGACCAGGUUCUCCACAUUCAUAACACUUCAAUUCAUCACUUCCACGUCCGCGACCACCACCGCGGCCACCGCCACCACUGCCUCUCGAGUUGUGAGAAAGCUCAACACGCCAACCAUUCUUCCCAUCUAGAGCACGAAUAGCAUCUUGGGCAUCUCUUUUAUCAUCAAAUUCAACAAAUGCAUAACCUGGUGGCCUUCGAGCAACCCACACACUUCUAAGGACCCCAAACGCACGAAACUCAUCUUCAAGUUCUCCUUCACCAACUCGUGGAUCCAAGUUCCCAACAUAAACACGAGACAUUGAGAUGUGUCAAAGCAACCGGGAGCGAUGCAGCGGCGAGAUCGGAGAACGGCG
rnacentral:misc_RNA from 1 species